rnacentral:rRNA from 1 species
CAUGGCAGACGGGUGAGUAACACGUGGGAAACUUACCUCUUAGUGGGGAGUAACGCUCCGAAAGGAGCGGUAAUACCGCAUGAGACCUAUCGCUGGGAUGCGAUAGAUGAAAGCUGGGGAUCGUAAGACCUAGCGCUGAGAGAGAGUCCUGCGUCUGAUUAGUUAGUUGGUGAGGUAACGGCUCACCAAGACUUCGAUCAGUAGCCGGCCUGAGAGGGCGAUCGGCCACACUGGAACUGAGACACGGUCCAGACUCCUACGGGAGGCAGCAGUGGGGAAUCUUGCGCAAUGGGCGAAAGCCUGACGCAGCAACGCCGCGUGGGUGAUGAAGGUCUUCGGAUUGUAAAACCCUGUCGUUAGGGACGAAGGCAUGAAUCCUAAUACGAUUCAUGUUUGACGGUACCUAGAAAGGAAGCCCCGGCUAACUCUGUGCCAGCAGCCGCGGUAAUACAGAGGGGGCAAGCGUUAUUCGGAAUUAUUGGGCGUAAAGGGUGCGUAGGCGGUUUUUUAAGUCAGAUGUGUAAUCCCCGAGCUCAACUUGGGAACUGCAUCUGAAACUGGAAGACUAGAGUGCUGGAGAGGAUGGUGGAAUUCCACGUGUAGCGGUGAAAUGCGUAGAGAUGUGGAGGAACACCAGUGGCGAAGGCGGCCAUCUGGACAGUAACUGACGCUGAAGCACGAAAGUGUGGGUAGCAAACAGGAUUAGAUACCCUGGUAGUCCACACCGUAAACGAUGAACACUUGGUGUAGUGGGCGUUGACCCCCACUGUGCCGUAGCUAACGCGAUAAGUGUUCCGCCUGGGGAGUACGGUCGCAAGGCUGAAACUCAAAGGAAUUGACGGGGGCCCGCACAAGCGGUGGAGCAUGUGGUUCAAUUCGACGCAACGCGAAGAACCUUACCUGGGCUUGAACUGUAAUGGACCGUGGCAGAGAUGUCACUUUUCGCAAGAACUGUUAUAGAGGUGCUGCAUGGCUGUCGUCAGCUCGUGUCGUGAGAUGUUGGGUUAAGUCCCGCAACGAGCGCAACCCUCGUUCUGUGUUACCAGCAUUUAGUUGGGGACUCACAGGAGACUGCCGGGGUCAACUCGGAGGAAGGUGGGGAUGACGUCAAAUCAUCAUGCCCCUUAUGUCUUGGGCUGCACGCAUGCUACAAUGGCCGGUACAAAGGGCUGCAAAACCGUAAGGUGGAGCGAAUCCCAUAAAGCCGGUCUCAGUUCGGAUUGGGGUCUGCAACUCGACCCCAUGAAGUUGGAGUUGCUAGUAAUCGUAGAUCAGCAACGCUACGGUGAAUACGUUCCCGGGCCUUGUACACACCGCCCGUCACGUCACGAAAGUCGGUAACACCCGAAGUCAGUGGCCCAACCGCAAGGGGGGAGCUGCCGAAGGUGGGAUCGGUGAUUGGG